GACCUCAAAUUAGGUAGGAGUACCCGCUGAACUUAAGCAUAUCAAUAAGCGGAGGAAAAGAAACUAACAAGGAUUCCCUUAGUAACGGCGAGUGAAGUGGGAAUGGCUCAAAUUUUAAAUCUGGCCGGUUUCUGGUCCGAAUUGUAAUUCAAAGAAGCGUUUACAGCGUCCUCUCGGGUAUAGGUCCCUUGGAAUAGGGCAUCAUAGAGGGUGAGAAUCCCGUCUGUGACACGAGUUCGGGUGCGAUACGUUACGCUUUCGACGAGUCGAGUUGUUUGGGAUUGCAGCUCAAAAUGGGUGGUAAAUUCCAUCUAAGGCUAAAUAAUUGCAAGAGACCGAUAGCGAACAAGUACCGUGAGGGAAAGAUGAAAAGAACUUUGAAAAGAGAGUUAAAUAGUACGUGAAAUUGUUGAAAGGGAAACGAUUGAAGCCAG
rnacentral:rRNA from 1 species